AGAGUGAACGCUGGCGGUAGGCCUAACACAUGCAAGUCGAACGGCAGCACAGUGGUAGCAAUACCAUGGGUGGCGAGUGGCGGACGGGUGAGGAAUACAUCGGAAUCUACCUUUUCGUGGGGGAUAACGUAGGGAAACUUACGCUAAUACCGCAUACGCCCUUUGGGGGAAAGCCGGGGAUCGCAAGACCUGGCGCGGAUAGAUGAGCCGAUGUCGGAUUAGCUAGUUGGUGAGGUAAUGGCUCACCAAGGCGACGAUCCGUAGCUGGUCUGAGAGGAUGAUCAGCCACACUGGAACUGAGACACGGUCCAGACUCCUACGGGAGCAGCAGUGGGGAAUAUUGGACAAAUGGGCGCAAAGCCUGAUCCAGCCAUACCGCGU
rnacentral:rRNA from 1 species